rnacentral:tRNA from 1 species
AAAUAAGAAGCAACUUAUGCAUUUAAUUUCGACUUAAAAGAUAGAGAAUAAUAAAUCUCCUUAUUUA